rfam:Canis lupus familiaris chromosome 10, whole genome shotgun sequence.
AGCUUUGCACAGUGGCAGUAUCAUAGCCAAUGAGGUUUAUCCGAGGUGCAAUUAUUGCUAAUUGAAAACCUCAGUAGGCACUCAGCUCCCACUCACAAUGGCCAGUCAAAACCAGCAUGCACAUACCAAGAGUGGGAACAAGGGCCAGAGUGGGUGAUUUGGAUUAUUGCUGUGCCUCUAGCCA